AUGACUCCCAUCAACUGGUCUCUCACAUUACCAGGAGACCAGCCAUAUGCAAUUGCACUGGCAUGUCUAGAGACUUCUCAAGUUUCAUUUAGUUGCAUAAUGUGCAUUUCUAAUACAACCCUUGUACAGGACAACAGGCUGCAGUCUCGAGAUGCUCGACACUUUCCCGGAUGCUCCUCCUCCAGAUUGGACGGUCUUGGGCCAGUGAUUCCCAGGUGUCUGUGGGAAUGUCACACUUCCCCAGUGAGGCCUUCAGGGUAUCACCGAAGCGCUUCCUCCGUCCACCUGGGGCUUGCCGUUUCGAAGCUGGGAGUAGAGGACCUGCUUGGGGUGUCUCGUGUCAGUCACGGGGAUGACGUACCCAGUCCAUCGUAGCUGAUCGAAGGUGCUCAGUGCCUCGAUGCUGGGAAUGUUGGCCUGGUUGGGGACGCUGGUGUUGGUGCAACUUUCUUCCCAGGGAUUUGCAGGAUCUUGC